AAAAAGAAAAAGGGAGAAAAAAAUAAUAAAACCCUAGCCGCCGCACGCCGCCGCCGCGAACCCGAGCCAUCAAGCCUUCCCCUCUCUGUUCAGCAACGCAACCGAGUCUGCAGUCCACCCGAGUCGUCGCCGAGCUUCUAGCCGCGCCGGAAGAUCCGUCCAAGCCGAUUCGCGCACGCCGAGCGUCCGUCGGAGCAACCCGUCUCUCGCAGCCAUCGCCCGAAGCCGAGCCCGCGUCACCCUUCGCGAUCCGCAGCCGAUCCGUCAGCCAGCCGUGUCGCGCCGCUUCGAUCCGACGCAGCGCAGUCGAAACGUCCGUCUGCAGCCGUCGCCGAGCGAAGCCGUGGUGUAGCCGGACCAUUCGCAGCCGUCGCGCCAUCCGGAUCUGGAAGCCAGUGCCUCGUCACACGAGGACCAGACCCGACCGAAGCCCCCGUUCCGUGACCCGAAGCCCGGCCCGCGCCGCGUGCCUCCGACCUAGAACCCGAGCCGCGUGCACUCGCGAGCCGAGCAGCGCCCGCGUGCGAGCCGCACGUGCGUAGUCUCUGUACCAAGCCGAGCCGCGCCUGUCUGCACCACAAGCCGCGCCUGUCUGCGCUGCGAGCCGAGCCGAUCUUCAACCUCCAAGCCGAGCCGGUCCCUGUUCUCUUUCCAGCCGAGCCGCCAAGCCUAAUUUGGCUCCUUUCAUCCAAUUUUUCGGGACGUCUUGGACCAAGUAACUGCUGCAGCGUGGGAUUUCUUCAGUAGGGGCUCAGCAUUGCAACCUCUUUCUAGGGUAGAGGACGAGGUAAGGGCAAAGGCAAGCUGGCGAGCGACCAGAAGUGACCGUGGCGAGCCAUAGGGAUUUCUACUUCCACUCAUUCUUGUUUUUUGACUUUAGUACCUGAGUUUGAGUAUUUUUCACUAUUUACCAUUUUUUUUAAGUAGAUAGGGCCCGAGUAGGACUUUAGAACGAAAUGUCAUUUUUGCAUGUUACUUUGAUUGGAUGUUCAUAAAUAAA